AUACGUAGGGCGCAAGCGUUAUCCGGAUUCACUGGGCGUAAAGGGUCCGUAGGCGGUUUCUCAAGUCCAGCUUCAAAGCCCCCGGCCCAACCGGGGAAAGGGGUUGGAUACUGAGAGACUAGAAUCGAUUCGAGGCUACUGGAACUUGCUGUGUAGGGGUGAAAUCCGUGGAUACAGCAAGGAACACCGAAGGCGAAGGCAGGUAGCCAGGAUCGUAUUGACGCUGAGGGACGAAAGCUAGGGUAGCAAACCGGAUUAGAAACCCGUGUAGUCC
rnacentral:rRNA from 1 species